AGUGAACGCUGGCGGUAGGCCUAACACAUGCAAGUCGAACGGCAGCACAGUAAGAGCUUGCUCUUACGGGUGGCGAGUGGCGGACGGGCGAGGAAUACAUCGGAAUCUACUUUUUCGUGGGGGAUAACGUAGGGAAACUUACGCUAAUACCGCAUACGACCUACGGGUGAAAGCAGGGGGUCUUCGGACCUUGCGCGAUUGAAUGAGCCGAUGUCGGAUUAGCUAGUUGGCGGGGUAAAGGCCCACCAAGGCGACGAUCCGUAGCUGGUCUGAGAGGAUGAUCAGCCACACUGGAACUGAGACACGGUCCAGACUCCUACGGGAGGCAGCAGUGGGGAAUAUUGGACAAUGGGCGCAAGCCUGAUCCAGCCAUACCGCGUGGGUGAAGAAGGCCUUCGGGUUGUAAAGCCCUUUUGUUGGGAAAGAAAAGCAGCAGGUUAAUACCCCGCUGUUCUGACGGUACCCAAAGAAUAAGCACCGGCUAACUUCGUG
rnacentral:rRNA from 1 species